rnacentral:rRNA from 1 species
CCUACGGGAGGCAGCAGUGGGGAAUCUUGCGCAAUGGGCGAAAGCCUGACGCAGCAACGCCGCGUGCGGGAAGAAGGCUUUCGGGCUGUAAACCGCUUUCAGCAGGAACGAAAAUGACGGUACCUGCAGAAGAAGGAGCGGCCAACUAUGUGCCAGCAGCCGCGGUGAUACAUAGGCUUCAAGCGUUGUCCGGAUUUAUUGGGCGUAAAGAGUUCGUAGGCGGUCGAGUAAGUCGGGUGUGAAAAUUCUGGGCUCAACCCAGAGACGCCACCCGAUACUGCUUGACUUGAGUUCGAUAGGGGAUGGGGAAUUCCUAGUGUAGCGGUGAAAUGCGCAGAUAUUAGGAGGAACACCGGUGGCGAAGGCGCCACUCUGGAUCGAUACUGACGCUGAGGAACGAAAGCAUGGGUAGCAAACAGGAUUAGGAUACCCUGGUAAGUCCAUGCCGUAAACGGUGGGCACUAGGUGUGGGUUUCUAUUAACGAAAUCCGCGCCGUCGCUAACGCAUUAAGUGCCCGCUGGGGAAGUCGGUGCAAGCUAAACNCAAAGGAAUUGACGGCUUGAGAGUUGCGAGCGCGACGAGGGAGAG